rnacentral:rRNA from 1 species
UACGUAGGGGGCAAGCGUUGUCCGGAAUCAUUGGGCGUAAAGAGCGUGUAGGCGGCCAGAUAAGUCCGCUGUGAAAUCUCGAGGCUCAACUUCGAGCUGUCGGUGGAAACUGUCUGGCUAGAGUCCGGAAGAGGAGAAUGGAAUUCCUGGUGUAGCGGUGAAAUGCGCAGAUAUCAGGAAGAACACCCGUGGCUAAGGCGGUUCUCUAGUACGGUACUGACGCUGAGACGCGAAAGCGUGGGGAGCGAACAGG